GAUGAACGCUAGCUACAGGCUUAACACAUGCAAGUCGAGGGGUUUCGAGGGAGCUUGCUUCCGAGAGACGACCGGCGCACGGGUGAGUAACGCGUAUCCAACCUGCCCUUCAUAUUGGGAUAGCCUCUCGAAAGGGAGAUUAAUACCGAAUAACAUAGUUUAGUUGCCUGACCAGACUAUGAAAGCUCCGGCGAUGAAGGAUGGGGAUGCGUUCCAUUAGGUAGUAGGCGGGGUAACGGCCCACCUAGCCAACGAUGGAUAGGGGUUCUGAGAGGAAGGUCCCCCACACUGGAACUGAGACACGGUCCAGACUCCUACGGGAGGCAGCAGUGAGGAAUAUUGGUCAAUGGGCGCAAGCCUGAACCAGCCAAGUAGCGUGAAGGAUGACCGCCCUAUGGGUUGUAAACUUCUUUUAUACGCGAACAACCGCAGGUACGUGUACCUGUCUGCGUGUAGCGUAUGAAUAAGCAUCGGCUAACUCCGUG
rnacentral:rRNA from 1 species